AGAGUUUGAUCCUGGCUCAGGAUGAACGCUGGCUGUGUGCCUAAUACAUGCAUGUCGAGCGAAGUUCUUCGGAACUUAGCGGCGAAUGGGUGAGUAACACGUACUCAACGUACCCUUUAGAUUGGGAUAGCGGUUGGAAACAGCCGAUAAUACCAAAUAUGCACAUUUUUCGCAUGAAAAGUGUGUGAAAGGAGCAAUUGUUCCGCUAAAGGAGCGGGGUGCGCAACAUUAGCUAGUUGGUGAGGUAACGGCCCACCAAGGCGAUGAUGUUUAGCGGGGUUGAGAGACUGAACCGCCACACUGGGACUGAGAUACGGCCCAGACUCCUACGGGAGGCAGCAGUAGGGAAUAUUCCACAAUGGACGAAAGUCUGAUGGAGCGACACAGCGUGCAGGAUGAAGGCCCCAUGGGUUGUAAACUGCUGUGGUAAGGGAAGAAAAAGCAGAAGAGUGGAACGCUUUUGCCUUGACGGUACCUUAUUAGAAAGCGACGGCUAACUAUGUGCCAGCAGCCGCGGUAAUACAUAGGUCGCAAGCGUUAUCCGGAAUUAUUGGGCGUAAAGCGUCUGUAGGUUGUUUGUUAAGUCUGACGUCAAAUUUUGGGGCUCAACCCCAAACCGCGUUGGAUACUGGCAUACUAGAGUUAUGUAGAGGUUAGCGGAAUUCCUUGUGAAGCGGUGGAAUGCGUAGAUAUAAGGAAGAACACCAAUAUGGCGAAGGCAGCUAACUGGACAUAUACUGACACUGAGAGACGAAAGCGUGGGGAGCAAACAGGAUUAGAUACCCUGGUAGUCCACGCCCUAAACGAUGAUCAUUAGCUGAUGGAAAAUUCAUCGGCGCAGCUAACGCAUUAAAUGAUCCGCCUGAGUAGUACGUUCGCAAGAAUAAAACUUAAAGGAAUUGACGGGGAUCCGCACAAGCGGUGGAGCAUGUGGUUUAAUUUGAAGAUACGCGUAGAACCUUACCCACUCUUGACAUCUUCUGCAAAGCUAUAGAGAUAUAGUGGAGGUUAACAGAAUGACAGAUGGUGCAUGGUUGUCGUCAGCUCGUGUCGUGAGAUGUACGGUUAAGUCCUGCAACGAGCGCAACCCUUGUCCUUAGUUACUAACAUUAAGUUGAGCACUCUAAGGAGACUGCCCGAGUAAUUGGGAGGAAGGUGGGGACGACGUCAAAUCAUCAUGCCUCUUACGAGUGGGGCAACACACGUGCUACAAUGGUCGGUACAAAGAGAAGCAAACUGGUGACAGGGAGCAAACCUCAAAAAACCGAUCUCAGUUCGGAUUGUAGUCUGCAACUCGACUACAUGAAGUCGGAAUCGCUAGUAAUCGUAGAUCAGCUACGCUACGGUGAAUACGUUCUCGGGUCUUGUACACACCGCCCGUCAAACCAUGGGAGCUGGUAAUGCCCGAAGUCGGUUUAUAAACAAACUGCCUAAGGCAGGACUGGUGACUGGGGUUAAGUCGUAACAAGGUAUCCCUACGAGAACGUGGGGAUGGAUCACCU
rnacentral:rRNA from 1 species